UUGUUUGCAGGUUUCAAAAAGCAUCUUGUUUACUACUGCUAAAGACUGUAUUGGAUUAAAUGGACCACAGGGAAAGGGGCAGAACAAGGAGAAAGGAGCAGGAGGCAAGAUUACUGAAUGACAACAUUUUCCCCUUUGCCAGUUGGAUUAAAUGAGCAUGCAAGUGAAGAAGAAAAUUUCCAGAAGGUUUAAACGUGUUCAUCUAUAAAAUAGAGAUAAUUAACACUUCCCUAUCUCACAAAGCUCA